rnacentral:rRNA from 1 species
GCAAGGUUAAAACUCAAAUGAAUUGACGGGGGCCCGCACAAGCGGUGGAGCAUGUGGUUUAAUUCGAUGCAACGCGAAGAACCUUACCUGGUCUUGACAUCCACAGAACUUUCCAGAGAUGGAUUGGUGCCUUCGGGAACUGUGAGACAGGUGCUGCAUGGCUGUCGUCAGCUCGUGUUGUGAAAUGUUGGGUUAAGUCCCGCAACGAGCGCAACCCUUAUCCUUUGUUGCCAG